rnacentral:tRNA from 1 species
GGGGCAGUAGCUCAAUCUGGGAGAGCACUAGACUGAAGAUCUAGGUGUUCCGGGUUCAAAUAUUGGUUGUGGAAAAAGCUGCAUACUUGCAAGCCAUAUCCUGCAACCUAUUGAAAGUCCCGGCUGCCCCA